rfam:Schistosoma mansoni strain Puerto Rico chromosome 1, complete genome
AUCCAGCUGAUGAGUCCCAAAUACGACGAAAUGCGUGUCCUGGAU